UGGCCUGAAAAGUUUUGCAUGGAAUAAUGGAAUAGGACUUCGGUUCUAUUUCGUUGGUUUUCGGAACUGAAGUAAUGAUCAAAAGAGACAGGCGGGGACGUUUGUACGGCUGCGCUAGAGGUGAAAUUCAUGGACCGUAGCCAGACAAACUAAAGCGAAAGCAUUCGUCAAGCAUGUUUUCAUUGGCCAUGAGCGAAAGUCAGAGGCUCGAAGACGAUCAGAUACCGUCCUAGUUCUGACCAUAAACGAUGCCAACUGACGAUCCGUGGUGGUAGUUUUUCAACCUUCCCCACGGGCAGUCCCCGGGAAACCUUUAAGUCUUUGGGUUCCGGGGGAAGUAUGGUUGCAAAGCUGAAACUUAAAGGAAUUGACGGAAGGGCACCACCAGGAGUGGAGCCUNNGGCUUAAUUUGACUCAACACGGGAAAACUCACCCGGGCCGGACACUAUGAGGAUUGACAGAUUGAUAGC
rnacentral:rRNA from 1 species